UACGUAGGGUGCAGGCGUUACUCGGAAUUACUGGGCGUAAAGCGUGCGCAGGCGGUUUGCUAAGUCAGGUGUGAAAUCCCCGGGCUUAACCUGGGAACUGCGCUUCUAACUGGCAGGCUUGAGUGUGGCAGAGGGGGGUGGAAUUCCACGUGUAGCAGUGAAAUGCGUAGAGAUGUGGAGGAACACCGAUGGCGAAGGCAGCCCCCUGGGUUAACACUGACGCUCAUGCACGAAAGCGUGGGGAGCAAACAGG
rnacentral:rRNA from 1 species